AUAUCAAUAAGCGGAGGAAAAGAAACCAACAGGGAUUGCCCCAGUAACGGCGAGUGAAGCGGCAAUAGCUCAAAUUUGAAAUCUGGCUCUUUCAGGGUCCGAGUUGUAAUUUGCAGAGGGCGCUUUGGCGUCGGCAGCAGCCUAAGUUCCUUGGAACAGGUCAUCAUAGAGGGUGAGAAUCCCGUAUGUGGCUGCUUGUCUUCGCCGUGUAAAGCCCCUUCGAUGAGUCGAGUUGUUUGGGAAUGCAGCUCUAAAUGGGAGGUAAAUUUCUUCUAAAGCUAAAUAUUGGCCAGAGACCGAUAGCGCACAAGUAGAGUGAUCGAAAGAUGAAAAGCACUUUGGAAAGAGAGUCAAAUAGCACGUGAAAUUGUUGAAAGGGAAGCGCUUGCAGCCAGACUUGCCUGUAGUUGCUUAUCCGGACUUUUGUCCGGUGCACUCUUCUGCGGGCAGGCCAGCAUCAGUUUGGGCAGUUGGAUAAAGGUCUCUGUCAUGUACCUCUCUUCGGGGAGGCCUUAUAGGGGAGACGACAUGCAACUAGCCUGGACUGAGGUCCGCGCAUCUGCUAGGAUGCUGGCGUAAUGGCUGUAAGCGG
rnacentral:rRNA from 1 species